rnacentral:misc_RNA from 1 species
UGUAAGCCUAGUAUGUAAGAGAAGCCAAUGGCCAAAAAUCUAAAUAUGACCAACCUUAGCACACAAGCACGCCUUACCCAAAAAUAGCCCUUGCUCAGCAACUCCAAAUCCGAACCCAGACUUGGAUGAGAUAACGCCUCCUGCAGAAUGAGGAGUCUCAAAUGCCGGAGACGACCAAACCACAAUGCCAGAGACCAUCAAACCACGAUGUCGACCACAUCACCUGAUGGAAGUUUCCCCCAAAAACUACGCCCCAAGGAAUGGCUAACGAAAUAGGGCAUAAUAUGACCCAUAACACAGUGGACUGAGAUCCCCGAAACUGAAGGAGUUCCAAAACCCUCACUAGCGAAGAUUGAGUAGAAGGCAAUGCAAGGGACAAAGACUCAGCCAAAACGCCUGAAAGAUGAGUCCCAAGCAAAAGCCCCCAGAUUAGAGAAGGUUCCUUGCUAACAGCUCAAGCAGAAAUGAAAACUAGGCCAUGAUCACCGAAGAAAGGGAAGGAGGGUAGUGCUUUGGCCAACUCACUCUCCUAUUAUAGACUUUAAGGGACUGGGAGCAACAAAUUGGCACUAUGAACAUUCCUGAGAUUACCCUCUCCCGCAGAAACUACCAUCCACAACAAGAAAUACAACUAGCAGAUCAAAAAUACCCUCACCAAGGAGCUCAAGACCUACAACUUAAAACAAAAUCAAAACUAUACACAAACCCACUCAGAAGUGGGAGAAGGGAACUUACAUCUCUGGGCAAAGGGGUAGGCCAACCCGGCCCAAAUGAGACAGCAGCAACCACUAAAUGACAGAGAAGAAAGGACAAGCCUCCAGGCGUAAAAAAAAAAGAAGAAAAAAUCUCUCUCUAAAAAUGGAGAGAGAAGACGCAAUAAAUUAUACCACUUAGUUUGAUGGCGCCAGCAAUAAAUAGGAGAUCUAUUACCUGGUGCAUGAAAAUAACAAUUUUUUCUUGAUAUAAAAAAAUGGAAAAUAACAACUUUCGACAUCAUAUGUGUAUCACAGGAAAAUGAAAAGCCCCCUCCUACCCAAGUAGCUCCGCCAUUGAUGAAAAGAUCUGAUUUGCAGGUGGAAUUUCAGUUGCAAUGACUAGGAUCAUGGAUAGGAAGGAGGGUACAGGGAUUCGGCUCUGAUACGCAUCCUUCGCCUUUACUCUGUAUAGAAGCUGCCUUGCUUUCACCUCUGAUCUUCUCAUCCCCAGCGGAAGGUCUUCCGGUGGCUGCGCGAGAAGAAAAUGCGGAUUGAUGGGUGAAUGUUGAAGGGUACUUGUGUAAAUAUGGAGGGCUAGCAGUGCCGACAUCACCGCGAGAACAAGAGAGAGGCGGUGAGAUUAUUACUAAUAAGAAGAGGAAAA